CUAUAGAGAGACAAGACUAAUAGGCUUCCUUAAUCGCUUUUAUUGGCUAAAUCACAGAGAUUGGAGACCGACCCAUUUAGGAGAGUCGAAGCGAGGUGAGUGGUCUAGACUUUAUUGUUGUUGAAGGAUGCAAAGAGGCCCACCAGCUUUCAGAGGUGUGGAGAAAUCUGCUGUUGAGCAGCCUUAUAUUAGGUUAUAGAUGAAUAUUUCAGAUUCUUGACUACAUAUAUUUUAGUCUGCUUGCUCCUACAUUUUUGAUAGUAAUUAUAUAGAAAUCGAGUUCUUUGUUGCUUGACAUGUUUGUGAGUAGGAAUGCAAGAUUAGUGUGAGCUUUGCUGAUGAUACGGUCUAGUGAUCUUUCCAUGUAAUCUUAGCUUCAGUGUUUACUUUUGCUGCUUUCACUUGUCUUGUCUUGUAUUCUGUGGAGUGAGUUUUGAUUUAUUUUUGUUGAUAGGAUGGUGGAUCUCAGGCCAUGGUUCUCCAGUUUUAUAUUUCCUCUAUCACCUCAAUUACGAGGCAAUACUAUCAUCGUUUAGGUUGUGCUUUUGAUGGCACUUGUUGCUUUCUGGUGCUGCUUUGUACUCAGAAUUUUUGUAGCUUAUCCUUGUAUGAGUGCUAGUGGUAUAAAGUUGUAUUUCUUUCAUUUGAUGUUAAGAUCACCUCUAUUGUCUUGCAAAUUUCUGACUUGAUUAGAACUACAGUUUAUUAAUCCAAUCCUAUCAACUUUUGCAAAGAAGUUUAUUCCUGAUACACUCAAGUUUUUUCUCAUUACGUAGAUGAUUAGAUAGUUGUUUCCAUUUUGUUUAUGUGAAUUCAAGUCUACCAACUGACAUAUAAACUAUGGGCUACAGAUUGCUUGUAACCCAUGCUUUGGAUAACUGUUUGAAGUUUGUCUAUGAUCUCUUUACUUUUGCAGUAAAUGGGCAAGACAAGCAUUAUAUUCAUAGGUUAAAUUCAAUUCUCUUCAGUUAAAGUUAGCAGAGGAGCAGCGGUCUUCAAAUUAUGUUUUUUUAAGCAGGUGUUUAGAAUUCUUUUUUAAUGGCACAUGAAGCAUUAUUUGAACAGUUGUCUGCGCCAUCUUAUGUGGCAUGUACUGAUGAUGGGAAGAGAAACACAAAUGCAUAUUGGAUGAUCUAUGCCAUGGAUCUUGGAAACUCUUCACUUUUAUCUAUAUUUUGUUUUGUAAAUCCCGUAACUUAUAUGGAUUAUUGUUUCAGCCAGGACUGGAGCUAGUAUGUAGUUAAAUUACUGAUGUUCUGUCUGUGCU
rnacentral:lncRNA from 1 species